GCGGAGGGAGCUGCCAACGCUCUGUUUCUUGCUGCUGUUUUCACUGCUUUCGAAAUGGUUUAGUGUUUUCGAACAAGUCCGUGAACAUCUUAACCGUUAUCAGAGGAGAUUCUAGUGCUUGACGGCCUUCUGAAUCCCAGAGUCUGAGCCAGCCUCCUUUCCAACUAGCAGGUUUACCCCAAACAUACACUAAUGCUAUCCUUACCAAUUUCUGAA